rnacentral:rRNA from 1 species
UCCAGACUCCUACGGGAGGCAGCAGUGGGGGAUAUUGCACAAUGGGGGGAACCCUGAUGCAGCGACGCCGCGUGGGUGAAGGAGCGUUUCGGCGCGUAAAGCCCUAUCGGCAGGGAAGAAGGAGGACGGUACCUGACUAAGAAGCCCCGGCUAACUACGUGCCAGCAGCCGCGGUAAUACGUAGGGGGCAAGCGUUAUCCGGAUUUACUGGGUGUAAAGGGGGCGCAGACGGCAGCGCAAGCCAGGAGUGAAAGCCCGGGGCCCAACCCCGGGACUGCGCUUGGAACUGCGCGGCUGGAGUGCAGGAGGGGCAGGCGGAAUUCCUGGUGUAGCGGUGAAAUGCGUAGAUAUCAGGAGGAACACCGGUGGCGAAGGCGGCCUGCUGGACUGCGACUGACGUUGAGGCCCGAAAGCGUGGGGAGCAAACAGGAUUAGAUACCCGGGUAUC